UCCAAAUUUAAACAUUGACUGUCACGUGUCACAUCCUGGUUGGACAUGAAAAGAUGCGUCCAAGAAUCCAUUAUAACAUUUUUCUAUUCAUUGUCCGAUCAGAACAUGACAUGUGACCGUCAAUGUAC
rfam:Glycine soja cultivar W05 scaffold1357_36, whole genome shotgun sequence.